AAUGCCCAGGAACAUGUCUAGAAUAUGCACAAAAAAUUUCAAGAAUUUCUAAUAAAGUAUCAUCAUUUCAUGAAUGAAAGAGUGAGCAUGGUGCACAAAAUGACAUGUCAAAGCAAACCCUAAGCAUUUUCAGAAAUUACACGUGCACAAUAUUAUUAAAAAUCACCAUAAAAUCCAGCACAUCACAAGGAGAAUGGCACAAAAAAUUGCAUCAAAUUUGGAU
rnacentral:lncRNA from 1 species